GCGGGUAUGGCGGAACUGGUAGACGCGCCAGACUUAGGAUCUGGUGCCGCAAGGCGUGGGGGUUCAAGUCCCUUUACCCGCA
rnacentral:tRNA from 1 species